GCUACGGGAGGCUGCAGUGGGGAAUAUUGGACAAUGGGGGCAACCCUGAUCCAGCCAUGCCGCGUGUGUGAAGAAGGCCCUCGGGUUGUAAAGCACUUUCAGUGAGGAAGAACGCCUGGUGGUUAAUACCCAUCAGGAAAGACAUCACUCACAGAAGAAGCACCGGCUAACUCCGUGCCAGCAGCCGCGGUAAUACGGAGGGUGCGAGCGUUAAUCGGAAUUACUGGGCGUAAAGCGCGCGUAGGUGGCUUGAUAAGCCGGUUGUGAAAGCCCCGGGCUCAACCUGGGAACGGCAUCCGGAACUGUCAAGCUAGAGUGCAGGAGAGGAAGGUAGAAUUCCCGGUGUAGCGGUGAAAUGCGUAGAGAUUGGGAGGAAUACCAGUGGCGAAGGCGGCCUUCUGGACUGACACUGACACUGAGGUGCGAAAGCGUGGGUAGCAAACAGGAUUAGAUACCCUUGUAGUC
rnacentral:rRNA from 1 species